AUCCCAGCACCUUCACCGGCUCCCCCCUCCUCGCCGGAGGUUCUUCUUGCCUUCCACCAGCCUCCCCCCCUGCCUAGAAUGAUCUGCCUUGAGCUCUCCCUGUCCAAACAAGGCAAGUGUGGAGACGAUGGAGAGACGAGCGCUGCAGCCUGUCGUCCAGAGGAAAUAGCGGCUGGCGUCGACAUCAGCCGGGGUUGACCCGGACAAGCUUAUGCUGAGGAGAGAAACAGGGGAUGAGCAUCGCCGGGGCGGACGCGGCGAUAGUGGAAGGAGCGCAACACACUGGGGCAUAUCCAGAAGCUCCACUUCAUGAUUCUCCAGAAAUUUCGAAGUCCGUACGCCUCCCCUUUCUCGCCUCCUCUUCUCACUUCCAAAAUUUCCUCUAUUUUUUUUCUCAUUCUUUGCUGCUACUCCUUUCCCGGCGACUCCGGAGUUGAUAUAUUUGGUUGUGAUGGACUGAUGGUCAGGGGACCUGCGCGUCGAUCUGUGCGUCGACUGCGCCUGGGCGUGGUUUUCCCGGUGGUAGACGGGUCUCUUCUCUACCAAAUCUCUCUGCCCCUAGCGAGCAAUUCUGAGCUCUACCUAACCGAGUUCGCCGUGGUUGCCGACCUCGAUUUUUUCCAUCCUGUAAAGACGGAUUCCACCGCCGGCCGUCCUGCCGUGCGCGCUGCGCCGCUGCCCCAGCCGACGCCCCGCUCGGGCAGGUGGAGCUGCUGUUCCACCGGUCAUCAAGCCCAGCACCGUCGUGCAGCCGCCCGCCGGCUUGAUUUGUGUUCUUUCGCUAGAUGGGCUUCUUUUUCUAUUGACGAUAUUCAAGGAAGGCCGCCGUGUCCGUCUGGCCGGGGACCUCCUCCUUGCAGGUGCAGCUCCAGACACGCUCAACAGCCAGAGCAUGUACCAGCCCAGCUGCGUCCGGGUGUGAGCGCCCAGUCUUGUGUCUCAUCAUUGGAGCAGCAGUGUUUUAAUCACUCAUUUGAGGGUUCAGUAAGCUGGUGUAAUCUCGUGAAAGCAACUGGCAGAAAAUUAAUAUGUGAAGGCAUCAUGAAAUGAAGGAAGAGCUAGACUAGGGAAAUUGCAACGUUGAUGUAUCAUGGUCCCCGGGUUGCAAGGGAAAUUCAUAGUUGUGACAUUAUCUUGUGAUGGUGCGGGUUUAUUGUACCCUCUGAAAUUCCUCCAUACUGGUGAACUUGGAAAUUUCCCACACCAGAAUAUCUCUUUGAAGGUUGGUGUCCCUAUAAUGUUGUUGAAUAAAACAAUCAAUGGACAGGGUUGUGCAACAGAACUUGGCUCAUGGUUAAAGGUUAAGGCCAGACAUUGGAUAUGGCAAGUGUUUAUUUAUCAAAGCCUGUAUUUUCUCAUGAAAAGUCCCAAGAGUCACAAUGGAGAAAAAGACUGUAAAUACUUGCAAUAGACGACAAUGGUAUGUCAACUACUGAAACUACAACUAUCUUAUACUAGGAGGUACUGGAGUAUCUGUAAGAAAAACACCAGAAUCUCACCUUCAGAUUAUAGUUGUUCUGAAAGGGAGAAGGAAAGAAGUAUCCAAACUGAUGAAACAGACAUUCUGCAACUAGGCCUCCAUUUUGUCAGCAUCUGCCAUCGAGAAAACCAUUUCAAGUGUUAUUUGUCUACUCAGCCUUGUAGUGAGUAUGGAACAUAAGUAUCCAUGCAAUUCUACCAAAAAUAUUAUCCACCCGCUGUUGUAAGAAGUACGGACACUACCGAUGUACCGUGGCAUCAAGUAUCUAAAGAUCCAUGUAUAAUUAUUGUAACGACCCUUUUAGCUUAUUAUGUGUAGUCGACUACUCCCUUGGGCUUAGUUGUCAUGUUUGGUAGAUCAAACCACCUUUCACUUCCAAGUUACUUACAACUUGUGCCCUAAAUUUCUCAACAUUAUCGUAUACCCAUGCAGGAAGAGUAGACCAGCAAACUGCCCAAUAUCUUUGAAGAUAACAAGUCCACAACUCUG